ACAAAGUUUGCUGUUGAAUAGUAUACCCACGGGAUACAAUUAGGAUCAGAGGGUCCAGGACCUGAUCUCUUGGGGACAUUCCACCUCUCAUCUUGGUCACUUCAGAGAAAUGUGUGAUGAAGGGAUCAGGUCCUGGAGUCAAACAGAGUUACCAUGGUCAUUCACCCAAGGCCUGGUCUGUUUAUUUGCUAUUCUGUGCCUUCAUCGUUGGUUGAAUGGACAUAGCCAUGCAUAUUUCAUGAGCUGUAAAGUAACAGAUAAGACAACAAUGGACUCUAUGAUUAAUGACUUCUGAACUGACGAAAUGGUGUCUGCAUUGUGGGAUUUCUGUUAGGAUGGAUUCUGGGUAUUUUGUUGUUUCUUUUCUGUUUCAAAUGUUGAAAAUGAUCUCUGACCCAAGAUAUCGCUCAGUGGGUUCGCCAUGGAUGUUCCCACUGGAUAUAUGAAGAGCCCAUACCCUAGGAUCUAGGCUGUGACUGAGACACACCUAAGACGUCAUUCAAGACCCUCGGAGACCAGAAGAGGAGAUCUCGGUGACCUACCUCAUCAGGAUGGAGCAGAGCUUGCGUGUGACUUACCUGGCUGUGUAACAGGCACUUCGAGACGCUUCCCACUGUCCGAGUCCUCCACACCCUGGGCUGUGAUGGAGUAAGGCCGACUGGCUUUGUUCUUAAAGAUGAUGAGGAUGGAGUCCCCCACCUCGGCAUGGAUCAUUGGGCCUAAAGGCAAAACACAGCCAGGACAUUACAAAUAUUAUGUCAUGCUUAGCAGUGGGGCCAACCUGAGUCCAAAUUCUUCCUCUUUUCCUUAACAAAAGGCCUUGGGUGAAUUGUGUAAUCAGAAUCUCAAUUUUUCUCAUCCGCAGAAUGGGUUCACUAGGACUGCUCCCACAGGACUAUUAAAUGGCAUUGCAUAGGUAUUGUAGAGUUUAUUUCUCUCAACAAAGCCAAGUAUUCAGGAAAUUCUUAGCUUCCCACUGCUCUGGAGCACCAGUGUUUCGUUGUAAGCUGUGAUCCUUUGGAUGAGAAGUGUCCCCCGUAGUCUUGGUCUCCAGUUGGUGACACUAUUUGGGAGGUUUAGUUGGUUUAAACUUGCUAGAGUAUAUCAGUAGGGAUAGACUUUGAGAUUAAAAUCUACAUAUUUCCAGUUUGCUAGCUCUAAAAGUUUGCCUUGUGCCUGCUCUGAAAGAUGCGAGCUCUCAGCUUCCUCUUCUUGCUGCCAUCCUACUGUCUUGCCUCCCUGCCGUGCCAGGCCCCUAGCCCUCCGGAAGCAGAAGCACAGGUUGUCUUGAUCAUGAUGUUUCAGAAGGAACAGAAGACUGAUGAAUGCUAAUGCAGUGUGAAACCUUAAGGGAUCAAAAUCGCUUAUGGUUUAGUAAAUGGGGUUGAUAUUAAUAAUGAGCUCCCAUGAAACGAUAGGUAAUAAAGGGACUUAGGGUAACAAAGCCAUGUUGCAUGUCUGGUGCUAACUCUUGACACAUGGAUAUCAUGUCAUUGAUGCCCGUCUGGUGCAGUCUCUCAAUAUGUAAGAUCGCCUGACCAGUGGUAUCUUCCUCAUGUCAAGUGCCUUUUGCUUUGCAGUGCUAGGGAAACACCCCAACAAGAUGCAGUGAGGCGCUCACAGUCAUCACAGUCAUCUUCAGACUCCCAUUGCAGAAGUGUCUCCCACCUGAGCCCUAAGGUUACCGCUUGGGCCUUUGUAUUCUACAUUCAUCCAGAGAUAUGCCCUUGGAGGGUUAAUGGUGUGACAACACCCAUUCAUUUGUCACUGAAGCAAGCUAUGUCUUUGAUCCUGAGGAACACGGAUAAGGUCAUUAAUACAUCUAAAGUCUGUUGAACUAUAGUUCUCUCCAGAAGCAAAAAGGAACUGCUAUGUGUUUAAACAGUAAGCAUGGAUAUGGCUCAGGCAGUUUGCACACAAUAAAGUUAUCACUCACUGCUGUUUACCAGUCCACUGCACAAGCCUGUGCACAAGCCUUCGUGGCUAAAAAAGUGUCUUCUGGCUGGCAGUGCAAUGUGAGGGGACACAGAGCAUGGUGGACAGAGGCGGACCUGCCACGGCCCCGCUGAGUUACUGGGAGUCCAGGCCACUCUAAGCUGCAAACAGCAAAGGAG